rnacentral:lncRNA from 10 species
AGAACCUUUUAUUAACACAACAAUGAUAUUUUAAAAAGGAAGAAUAAUAAUUUCCAAGAAAAAGUACAGGAAUUUAUUUUAUGUCUUUUUGAAUUUAGACAGAGAAUUAUUUCAUAGACAUCAUUUAGACAAAGUUAGACUGGCCUGAAUUUAACUGCAGGUCCUGAGACUUAUUAUUAAGGUCAUAUUUGCCAAUGUCUGGUGAGAAAUAGACUGGGAAGAUGAAAAGCAUCAAAAGAUUUCUAAGGGCUACCAAGAUUAUUGAGGGGAUACUGAAGAACAUGUUUUUUAUUUAAAUAUUUCCUAGGACUGACCUUCACUCUUUUUUCAGUGAAUCUACCAUUAAAAAGGAAGAAUCUGUGGCCAUCCUGGAAAUAAACAGAGUGACAUGGUGACAAUUGUGGAUCCUCUCCUUUGGGAUAAUGCACUGUGUAUCCCAUUGCAAGUGCUUCUCAGACAUCAGUGCAACGACCUCUUCAGUAAUCUGACCUAAAAUGAACUGUUGAGCAACUGAUUUUUGAUUAUUUCCUGAGUUGUUCUGCAGGCUUGAAAGGAUAGUUUCUUGUUGGUCAAAUCACAGAAAAGUCUUAUACAAGAAUUAUCAUCGGGUCAAGUUCUCAGACUUACAUUGUAAUUAAUUGCUUAGCCUCAUUACUUCCACACUAUAUAAUAGUUUUACUCUUUGUUCUUUCUAUUAAACUGGUUUUACUUUAGAAUUUUGUUUCACUGUAAUGAAUGCCAUAAGAAUAUUCUUUAAUUCGAUCAUUAUUAUUAUUAUUAUUUUGAGACGGAGUCUCACACUAUCGUCGGGGCCGGAGUGCAGUGGUGUGCAAUCUCGGCUCACUGCAACCUCUGCCUCCUAGGUACAAGGGAUUCUCCUGCCUCAGCCUCCCGAGUAGCUGGGAUUACAGGCGCCUGCCACCAUGCUUGGCUAAUUUUUUGUAUUUUUGAAGAGACGGGGUUUCACCAUGUUGGCCGGGCUAGUCCCCAACUCGUGACCUCGUGAUCUGCCCACCUCGGCCUCCCAAAGUGCUGGGAUUACAGGCAUGAGCCACCGCGCCCAGCCUCGGUGUUUAUUUUUACAAACAAGAUAGCUCACAUUUCCCUCCAACACCAUUUUAAAAUAAAGCUUGUCAUUUCUAUUUGACCUUUUGUUAUCUCUUCCUGAUUUUCUGAGAAUGAUUUAUACUAAAUAUUAUAUCUUUUAUAUUGUGUACAUAUAUAUGUUAUUUAUAAUCCCAUAUCUGAAUAUCUGAAUUCCAAAAUACUCCAAAAUCUGACUUUUUGAGCACAGCACUGACAUGACACUCAAAGGAAAUGCUCUUUGGAGCACUUUGGAUUUUGGAUUUUCAGAUUAGGGAUACUUUACGGUUUCAAAAUCUGAAAAUCUCUGAAAUCUGUAACAUUUCUGGUCUCCAGUGUUUUGGAUUGGGAAUAGUCAAUCUGUAACAUACAUGCAUAUUACACUGUGUUUUCUUUAAUUAAAGUAAUUGCAUUAAUUUGUCUAAGCUAGGGAUGUAUCAAAAGUACAUAUUUCAUUUUGAUCCUUAAAUCAAUUUUGACAUAUUUCUUCUUAUGAUUAAAUACACAUGAUUCAUAGAAGAAAUAAGGUCCUCCACUGGGAUCUUUUUGUUUUGUAAAAGACUUUCAUUAUACAGCUCUGUUGGCUAUUUAUCCAGACCCAGCUCCUGUCAUAAACCUUUAUGCUUUAUGUUACAGUAAUAAUGAAUUAUUUGCAAUUCCUAAAAUAUCACAAUUGCAUUAUAUAAUUCCAAUUGUUGGCAUUGAAGCCAAGGACUGUGAUUUUUCCAUAGUUAUUGUCUCAGCAACUAGCAGUAUGGUGGCAUAAAUAUCUGUUGAAACAACAAAC